GACGAACGCUGGCGGCGUGCUUAACACAUGCAAGUCGAACGGUGAAGCGCCUUCCUUUUUGGUGGGUGUGGAUGAGUGGCGAACGGGUGAGUAACACGUGAGUAACCUGCCCCCUUCUUCUGGAUAACCGCAUGAAAGUGUGGCUAAUACGGGAUAUUCUGGGUCUGUCGCAUGAUGGGUCUGGGAAAGAUAUUGUUUCGGUGGGGGAUGGGCUCGCGGCCUAUCAGCUUGUUGGUGGGGUGAUGGCCUACCAAGGCGGUGACGGGUAGCCGGCCUGAGAGGGUGGACGGUCACACUGGGACUGAGACACGGCCCAGACUCCUACGGGAGGCAGCAGUGGGGAAUAUUGCACAAUGGGCGCAGGCCUGAUGCAGCGACGCCGCGUGAGGGAUGGAGGCCUUCGGGUUGUGAGCCUCUUUCGCCAGUGAAGCAGGCCUGCCUCGUUUGUGGGUGGGUUGACGGUAGCUGGAGAAGAAGCGCCGGCUAACUACGUG
rnacentral:rRNA from 1 species